rnacentral:rRNA from 1 species
UACGUAGGGUGCGAGCGUUAAUCGGAAUUAUUGGGCGUAAAGCGCACGUAGGCGGUUUGUUAAGUCGGAUGUGAAAUCCCUCGGCUCAACUGAGGAAGUGCAUCCGAAACUGGCAGGCUUGAGUACUAAAGAGGGUCGCGGAAUUCCCGGUGUAGAGGUGAAAUUCGUAGAUAUCGGGAGGAACACCGGUGGCGAAGGCGGCGACCUGGGUAGAUACUGACGCUGAGGUGCGAAAGCGUGGGGAGCAAACAGG